rnacentral:rRNA from 1 species
AUGCACCGACAUCAACCACGUCCACGUCUAGCACAUCAGCCGACAACCAGGCCACCCCGUCCUGACCAACCUGGCAGUUCUACGUGGCACCCGCAGCACUAUGGUCCCACGUCGAGCUUCGUGUUUUCUCCACAGCCACAGCAACACGGUCCCUCGUCGAGCUUCGUGUUAUCUCCACAGCCACAGCAGCACGGUCCCUCGUCCAGUUUCGUGUUUGAACCAGAGCAGACGUCACACCCAGCAGGAGCCUAUGGAUAUCAGGCGUCUAUGUCGGCAUCACAUGAUACGUGGGGGAGUGAUCAACAUCCCGAGGACAACAUACAGGCUCAGAUGUCGCAGCACACCCAGUGGAUGAACAUGUUUUUGACUCCUCCACCAGGCCCGACACAGGAUACACAGCAUGACCAGGGAGAGUCUGAGAUUCCUCCUCGUCACGUUAGGGCACCCGACAGGUUGGGAUGGUCCCCGAUUCCAGAUCCGCCUCCCCGCCAGGCCAGACGUCGUCACUGA